rnacentral:lncRNA from 12 species
AUGGUUUCCAAUUUUAAGGACAUGUUUGCAUUAAGCCACACAAAUUCCUGUAUUCAAAGAUGCAAACUGUGCUCUGGGAAAAGAUGCCAUCUCCUAAAAAUCUCUGCAAGGAAAUUAAUGUGGCAGACAGGUCUCCAAAUAAAGACUAGGGAGCUGGGUCCUGGAGCAGAGGAUCAAUUCCAGCUGUCACUCCUGGAGCCUGUCAUCUUCUCCCGCCUGGUCCAGUGUGAUAUCAUCUUGAUACGGCACCUAAACCCAGGAUCAAUCACCUUGCUCCCUGUGCAAGCUGGACACGUUGCUUCAUCUUUUGUGUGAUUCUAAUAGCAGACGUGGUAUAUUUUGGAUAGUAAAAUCAAUUCUGUUUGGAUUAUAAAAGGGAACAGGUGGCUGCAAUUUUAGCCAUUCUUCAAUAUCCAGUAAUAAGGCUGAAAGGAAGUCAUCUCUAUUUUUCCUGCUAAG